AUUGCUUCUUGGCCUUUUGGCUAAGAUCAAGUGUAGUAUCUGUUCUUAGUUUAAUAUCUGAUACGUCCUCCAUCUGAGGACAAUAUAUUAAAUGGAUUUUUGGAACAGGGAGAUGGAAUAGGAACUCACUCUGUCUACUCCACGCAUUGGCCUGGCAUUGCAGUACCUCCAGGAAUGGUGCACCAAAA
rnacentral:snRNA from 1 species